CUUGCUUUCUUUGUGACUUCUCUAGAACCAUUAGGAAAGAUACAGCUGUAGACACUUGGUUAUCUGCCUGCUUUAACAGCACACCCGGUUGGGCUGGAUCCAAGAAUAACUGGAGCUCCACAGCUGAUCCUGGGACCACUGCCUUCUUUGCACGCACUCACACACUGUCAAUGACCUCAGUAGGGUGGAUGAAAAUGUCUUUCCAGCUGCCCACGUUUCCAUCGUUCAGUCUACCAGCCACAACAGCAGGACUGGAGUCAAACUCAUCCUCCCCACUGGUUACUGUUCCACUCUACUUACUCUCAGUUUCCUUUUUGAUGAGAGGAGAAAGAGCUUGUCUUUGGGUGAGAAUCCACAAGGAUUUUUGUCCCAUUCUGCAGGCAUCCAUCCCAGCUACCUUUCUAAUUCCACAGGUAAGAGGAUACUCACUCAUUUCCUUUCAAAGAGAUCCGUUUUUGGAGUUUGGGGCUAUUUGUGAGUGACAUAUUGGGGCA
rnacentral:lncRNA from 1 species